rnacentral:rRNA from 1 species
AGAGUUUGAUUCUGGCUCAGGAUGAACGCUAGCUACAGGCUUAACACAUACAAGUCGAGGGGUAGCAGGGUAGCAAUACCGCUGACGACCGGCGCACGGGUGAGUAACACGUAUCCAACCUUCCCAUAACUCAGGGAUAGCCUUUCGAAAGAAAGAUUAAUACCUGAUAGUACUUUUUCAAGGCAUCUUGAGAAAGUUAAAGAUUUAUUGGUUAUGGAUGGGGAUGCGUUCCAUUAGAUAGUUGGUGAGGUAACGGCUCACCAAGUCUUCGAUGGAUAGGGGUUCUGAGAGGAAGGUCCCCCACAUUGGUACUGAGACACGGACCAAACUCCUACGGGAGGCAGCAGUGAGGAAUAUUGGUCAAUGGGCGAGAGCCUGAACCAGCCAAGUAGCGUGAAGGAAUGAAGGUCCUAUGGAUUGUAAACUUCUUUUAUAGUAGAAUAAAGUGAUCCACGUGUGGAUUUUUGUAUGUAUACUAUGAAUAAGGAUCGGCUAACUCCGUGCCAGCCGCCGC